rnacentral:rRNA from 1 species
CCUACGGGGGGCAGCAGUGGGGAAUAUUGCGCAAUGGGCGAAAGCCUGACGCAGCGACGCCGCGUGAGGGAUGAAGGUCUUCGGAUCGUAAACCUCUGUCAGCAGGGAAGAACGGUCACUGUGCUAAUCAGCAGUGAAUUGACGGUACCUGCAAAGGAAGCACCGGCUAACUCCGUGCCAGCAGCCGCGGUAAUACGGAGGGUGCGAGCGUUAAUCGGAAUUACUGGGCGUAAAGCGCUCGUAGGCGGUAUGUCAAGUCAAGGGUGAAAGCCCCGCGCUCAACGUGGGAACUGCCUUUGAAACUGGCAAACUAGAGUGUGGGAGAGGAGAGUAGAAUGCCAGGUGUAGGAGUGAAAUGCGUAGAGAUCUGGAGGAACAUCAGUGGCGAAGGCGACUACCUGGCACAUGACUGACGCUGAGGAGCGAAAGCGUGGGUAGCAAACAGGAUUAGAUACCCGAGUAGUC